CGCAGGUGCUGGCCUUGAUCCGCUAUCACGGCUGGGAUGUGUUCGGCACGCAGGAAGGCCUGCC
rnacentral:tRNA from 1 species